GCGGGCGGUCAGGCUCGGCGCCGGCCCGCGCUGGGUGAAUUCCGCACGCCGGGGCGCUUUCGGGGAUCCUCUUGGAAGCACUUACGUAACCGAGUGCGCCGGGACUGGCUGAAGGGAGACCGUCCCGCAGGACGCAAGAAGAACAUCCGCAUCGUUCUUUGGGAAUCCUCGCUCUGCAGCCUGCAGCCGGGACUCCAUUUUGCCUCCGGUGCCUUGUGACCUCGCCUGGCCAAUCACAACAGUGGCUGGCUCACGGACGGGCACGUGACUUCAUUACCAAUCCUUAUUUGGAGUCUGCUCUACACUGGGGCUUCCUAGGUGCAAGAUCCAGUAAACCCUCGUCUCUGCCUCCGCCCUUUUUCUCUCCUUACACUAGUUUAUAGUGGGUUUUCUGUAAACCUGCAAUAGAGUCCUAAUGGAUAUAUUGGUGACUAUUUCUAAAAUUUAAAAUUAAGCAAUAAAGAAUUAAAAUAAAAUUU